AAUAUAAAUGGCGAUGGAGUUCGCCAAAAUUGUCGUUGUGCUAAUGACUCCUACCCUUUU
rnacentral:ncRNA from 2 species